UGGGGAAUUUUGGACAAUGGGGGAAACCCUGAUCCAGCCAUCCCGCGUGUGCGAUGAAUGCCUUCGGGUUGUAAAGCACUUUUGGCAGGAAAGAAACGUCAUGGGUUAAUACCCCGUGAAACUGACGGUACCUGCAGAAUAAGCACCGGCUAACUACGUGCCAGCAGCCGCGGUAAUACGUAGGGUGCAAGCGUUAAUCGGAAUUACUGGGCGUAAAGCGUGCGCAGGCGGUUCGGAAAGAAAGAUGUGAAAUCCCAGAGCUCAACUUUGGAACUGCAUUUUUAACUACCGGGCUAGAGUGUGUCAGAGGGAGGUGGAAUUCCGCGUGUAGCAGUGAAAUGCGUAGAUAUGCGGAGGAACACCGAUGGCGAAGGCAGCCUCCUGGGAUAACACUGACGCUCAUGCACGAAAGCGUGGGGAGCAAACAGG
rnacentral:rRNA from 1 species